rnacentral:lncRNA from 1 species
CUCUGCAUCCCUAGAGGAAGAGAGCCCGCCUGGGCGCCCCUGAGCCGCUCCCCAGGGGAGAGAGGAGAUCUCUGUUUACUCAAGACCGAAAGCAGCCGGAUUCAAGGUAUUCCAGACAACUCAGGCCCAUCUGCUACACUUGAUGGAAGAAGGGAUCGUGUAUCUUCUGCAAAGGAGAGCCAGAGAGAGUGCUGCUGGAGACGGGUAACUCAGCAGCAACAUCUCACAGAAACACAGGCAGGAAGGAAUGAUCCACUGGAUGAUGUCGCCCACUUGAAAGAACGCCCUAUAAAAGCAUCCUGCAAGCAGGGGCCAGACUGGCAACACAGGUUCCUCUCCACCAUGCUUAGUUCGCCUGCUCUCCGAAGGACACAGGUGCACGGCUCUCCUCAAAGCCUCAGUGUGGUGACAUACCUAAAAGGCAUGUGUGCACUGUCCACGGCAGAUGUGCUCAGAAACACGUGGGGUGCUUCCUGUGACGACUCUGACACGAUUCAUAUGUCCAACUACUGUUAAUUGAGGGCACCGUGUGCGCUCCCAGACUCUCCAGUCUGUCCCCAAAGCGUCUGGGGAGAUUUAGGCAUCCCCUAGAAAAUGUGAUAAUGAGGCAGGUGUAGUUCUGUACAAGACAGAUGGGCUGGAGGGGGAAGACUAACCCAGCUCCCCGUCCGAUAGAAACACAAGAGAAGCUGUGUUUAAUGUCACAUUCGCUAGUAGCUUCUUAAAGAGGAGAAAAUAAAUAGCUGAAGUUAGUGUCUUGACA